rnacentral:rRNA from 1 species
AGAGAGAGACAUGCGCGCAUAUCAAUAAGCGGAGGAAAAGAAACUAACAAGGAUUCCCUUAGUAACGGCGAGUGAAGCGGGAAGAGCUCAGAUUUGAAAUCUUCAAGGUUCUACCUUGACGAAUUGUAGUUUAAAGAAGUGUUUUCUGCUGAAGUUUUCGGUAAAAGUUCUUUGGAAUAGGACAUCAUAGAGGGUGAGAAUCCCGUAUUUGACCAUUAUUUUCAGCUUUGUGAUACACUUUCAAAGAGUCGGAUUGUUUGGGAAUGCAGUCCAAAAUGGGUGGUAAAUUUCAUCUAAAGCUAAAUAUUGGCGAGAGACCGAUAGCGAACAAGUAGCCGUGAGGGAAAGAUGAAAAGAACUUUGAAAAGAGAGUUAAACAGUACGUGAAAUUGUCAAAAGGGAAGCGUUUGACACCAGUGUUGUUUUCUCGAAAAUCAAUUAAAAAUGGCUCGAUUUUGUAUUGCUUGAGACCUUAAAAGCUCACUGUACAUUUUUCGUGUCUUUUUUAAUGCACUUUUCGUUUAACAAGUCAACAUCAGUUUCUUUUGUUGUAAAAGGGUCAUUGGAAGGUGGCUUUCUUUUCGGAGAAAGUGUUUAUAGCCUUUGGCCUCUGCAAUCGGAGAGACUGAGGUCUGCAGCGUAGACUCUUCGGGGUUCGAUACAUUUGUGCUAAGUUAUAGCUUUUUAUAGACAACUUGUUGACUAUAAUUAGUCUUGUAGCUUACUCGCUUAUGCUAUUUUACCUACGCUUAGGAUGUUGAGUCGUAGAGCACGCAG